GCAGUUUAAAAAUCAGUGUCCUCUCCUCAAUAACAUGAAGAGUUCACUUUUGCAAUGCUGCUAGAGGAAACUUUGUUGGUCAAUAUUAUCAGCUGAGUGCAGUUCAAUCAAACGACAUGACUGCUCUCUUCCUCAAAAUUUGUCUACAA
rnacentral:snoRNA from 1 species